rnacentral:tRNA from 1 species
GUAGUCGUGGCCGAGCGGUUAAGGCGGUGGAAUUGAAAUCCAUUGGGGUCUCCCCGCACAGGUUCGAAUCCUGUCGACUGCG